rnacentral:rRNA from 1 species
AAGCCUGAGCGCGACGCCGCGUGAGCGAUGAAGGAUUUCGGUAUGUAAAGCUCUUCUGCAGGGAAGAUAAUGACGGUACCUGACUAAGAAGCACCGGCUAAAUACGUGCCAGCCGCCGCGAGUAAUGAGCCAGCCGCCGCGGUAAU